rnacentral:rRNA from 1 species
GUGCAGCAGGCGAGAAUAGUCUACAAUGGACGAAAGUCUGAUAGUGCGACGCCGUGUGUGCGAUUAAUUCCUUCGGGAUGUAAAGCACUUUUCUAUGAGAUAAAAGCUCUUUAGGUUAAUAGCUUAUUGAGACGGAUAUUAUUAUAGGAAUAAGCUCCGGCUAACUCCGUGCCAGCAGCCGCGGUAAUACGGAAGGAGCGAGCGUUGUCCGGAUUUACUAGGCGUAAAGGGCUAGUAGGCGACUAAUUAAGUUAUAUGUUAAAUCCCACGGCUCAACUGUGGUCCUGCAUGUAAUACUGGUUAGAUAGAGUACUGUAGAGGAAGGCAGAAUUCCUGGAGUAGCGGUGGAAUGCGCAGAUAUCAGGAAGAAUACCAAAAAGCGAAGGCAGCCUUCUGGGCAGUUACUGACGCUGAAUAGCGAAGGUGUGGGUAGCGAACAGGAUUAGAUACCCGCGUAGU